AACGAACGCUGGCGGCAUGCCUAACACAUGCAAGUCGAACGAGACCUUCGGGUCUAGUGGCGCACGGGUGCGUAACGCGUGGGAACCUGCCCUUAGGUUCGGAAUAACUCCCCGAAAGGGGUGCUAAUACCGGAUAAUGUCUUCGGACCAAAGAUUUAUCGCCUUUGGAUGGGCCCGCGUUGGAUUAGCUAGUUGGUAGGGUAAAAGCCUACCAAGGCGACGAUUCAUAGCUGGUCUGAGAGGAUGAUCAGCCACACUGGGACUGAGACACGGCCCAGACUCCUACGGGAGGCAGCAGUGGGGAAUAUUGGACAAUGGGCGAAAGCCUGAUCCAGCAAUGCCGCGUGAGUGAUGAAGGCCUUAGGGUUGUAAAGCUCUUUUACCCGGGAUGAUAAUGACAGUACCGGGAGAAUAAGCUCCGGCUAACUCCGUG
rnacentral:rRNA from 1 species